UAAACUAGGAUUAGAUACCCUAUUAGAAUUAAUAAAAAUUUAGUAGUAAUUGAUUAGCAUGAAACUAAAAUUAAUUGGCGGUAAUUUAAAUUUAUUAGAGGAAUUUAUUCUUUAAAGGAUUAGACACCAAAAUCUUACUUUUAUUUGUUAAUCAGUUUGUAUAUCUCUAUUUAAAAAUAUUUAAAGAUAUUUUAUAAAUUUAUAAAACUUAAUUUUAGGUAAAGGUGCAGCUUAUGUAAAAGAUUGAAAUAAAUUAUAUUAAUUCAUAUUUAACAAUAUUUAAUAAGUAUAUAUUUUGUAUAGUAAAAUUUAAAAGUAAAAUUGAUAGAAUUUAUUAAUUUGAAUAAGAUUUUAGUUGUGUACAUAUUGCCCGUCACUCUCCUUAGGAGAUAAGUCGUAACAUAGUAA
rnacentral:rRNA from 1 species